rnacentral:rRNA from 1 species
GACGAACGCUGGCGGCGUGCUUAACACAUGCAAGUCGAACGGAAAGGCCCUGCUUUUGUGGGGUGCUCGAGUGGCGAAAGGGUGAGUAACACGUGAGUAACCUGCCCUUGACUUUGGGAUAACUUCAGGAAACUGGGGCUAAUACCGGAUAGGAGCUCCUGCUGCAUGGUGGGGGUUGGAAAGUUUCGGCGGUUGGGGAUGGACUCGCGGCUUAUCAGCUUGUGGGUGGGGUAGUGGCUUACCAAGGCUUUGACGGGUAGCCGGCCUGAGGGGGUGACCGGCAACAUUGGGACUAGGAUACGGCCCAGACUCCAACGGGAGGCAGCGGGGGGGAAAAUGGCACAAUGGGCGGAAGCCUGAGGCAGCAACGCCGCGGGCGGGAUGACGGCCUUCGGUUGGUAAACCGCUUUCGCCUGUGACGAAGCGGGAGUGACGGUAAUGGGUAAAGAAGCACCGGCUAACUACGUG